rnacentral:rRNA from 1 species
GUACGGGAGGCAGCAGGCGCGAAAACUCUACAAUGCAGGCAACUGCGAUAGGGGGACAUCGAGUGGCAUCCACCUUGGGUGCCUGUCCAACCGUCUAAAAAACGGUUGUUAGCAAGGGCCGGGUAAGACCGGUGCCAGCCGCCGCGGUAAUACCGGCGGCUCGAGUGGUGGCCGAUAUUAUUGAGUCUAAAGGGUCCGUAGCCGGCUUUGCAAGUCCCCUGGGAAAUCCAGCGGCUUAACCGUUGGGCUUUCAUGGGAUACUACAUUGCUUGGGACUGGGAGAGGUAGGAGGUACUCGAGGGGUAGGGGUGAAAUCCUGUAAUCCUUCGGGGACCACCGGUGGCGAAGGCGUCCUACCAGAACAGGUCCGACGGUGAGGGACGAAAGCUAGGGGCACGAACCGGAUUAGAUACCCUGGUAGG